UUGGGCUGGGACUGAAUUUCCUCGAUCUGUCUUCUGUUUGCUUCUUAAAACUGUGAACUACAUUGCUCAAUUCCUUGUUUCAUCUAUUUCAGAACCUUUGAGUUAUAGCAAUUUUAUUAUGUUCCUGCAAUGUGAUCUACUCUCUGCUGUGCUUCAGGACAGUCCAGGAUCUUUUCCUCAUGACCAAAGCAAUAUGUCAAGGAGUGAUUUUUUCAAUUGCUCCCACAAAAUGGAUUCUGUCUGGUUGUAUAUGUCAGAGGAGAUCACAUCUUACCAAA